GUUCUUUCAAAAAUUGCUGAGUCUGGCAAGUCCUCUCUGUACUCUCAAAUUGAAGAAUCUCAAAUGGCUGUCAAUUUAAAAUAAUAGUGACCCUCAGUUGUGGCAUUCAAUAACAAUCAUCAGGAGAAAAGAAAUUCUUCAGCUCUACCAAAUCUCAGUUUUGUUCUCAAGGAACACAACAUUUAAUUACUCCCGUCCCAGUAAUCAAAGAACUCGUCCUUCUGGUGCCGCAAAUUUGAUACACUACCCUGACCCCAGCAUCUCUCUACCUUCUUAAGAGCUUUCAGUGCAAUUCCACUGCAAUCAUCUCUG
rnacentral:misc_RNA from 1 species